AACCAUGGAGCUAGUUCUUCCUAGGGUGGGGAUGAUUUUCCUAAUGCACCACCAGUUCCACCCUCUUUGGCUGAUGCAAUUGCAGCAUUGGUCAAUGCAACAACUCUGUUAGCACAGAACCAGAAUGUUGGUCAGCGUGGCCGUGGUCGCAAUAACCGAGAAGAAACCACAUAUGUUGACUUCACAGAUACCCGUCCCCC
rnacentral:lncRNA from 1 species